UAAAGGUUAGGAUUUGCAAAGCCACUGCUGACAGUUGAGCAAGCUUUAAGUCAGAAUGAAAGAAGAAAGAAGCCUCUGCUUCUUCGUGUAUGUGAUUAGCAAGAAAUCUUUAACACUGGAACUUAUUUCUGUGCAGAUCUGACACCCUGGGUGUUUUUGAAAACUUGCUGUCUUACUGCCUAAAUAGGAAGCUGCCCAAGUAAUUUUUUGGCUUACGACCCUUGGUGUGAACAACCCAGGUGUCGAGCACAGCCAGCACAGUAAUGUGACUUUUGGAAACUUCCUACCACUUCCAAAACAUGGAAUUAAGUGUGACUUGUAGAUCGCGAUGAGGGAAUCGGAACUGUGGGUCGCAGACAUACAUCAGAACAGUAGGUGGCAGUAUGCACCUUUCACGCUGAAGAAAAGAAAACACCUCACCGGGCUUUGACAGCCAAUCCAAUAUGGAAAACAGACGUUCGCUUCCUGACCAUGGAACACGUCCAGAUAUACAGUUAUCACACAGUACACCUGUUGACUGCGGGUGGGUCGUACCUGUCU